rnacentral:rRNA from 1 species
UACGUAGGGUGCAAGCGUUGUCCGGAAUUAUUGGGCGUAAAGAGCUCGUAGGCGAUUUGUCGCGUCGGGAGUGAAAACACGGGGCUUAACCCCGUGCCUGCUUCCGAUACGGGCAGACUAGAGGUAUGCAGGGGAGAACGGAAUUCCUGGUGUAGCGGUGAAAUGCGCAGAUAUCAGGAGGAACACCGGUGGCGAAGGCGGUUCUCUGGGCAUUACCUGACGCUGAGGAGCGAAAGUGUGGGGAGCGAACAGG